AUUGAACGCUGGCGGCAGGCCUAACACAUGCAAGUCGAACGAGUGGCGGACGGGUGAGUAAUGUCUGGGCAACUGCCUGAUGGAGGGGGAUAACUACUGGAAACGGUAGCUAAUACCGCAUACCAUCGGAUGUGCCCAGAUGGGAUUAGCUAGUAGGUUGGGUAAAGGCUCACCUAGGCGACGAUCCCUAGCUGGUCUGAGAGGAUGACCGGCAACACGGGAACGGGGCCACGGUCCAGACUCCUACGGGAGGCGGCAGAGGGGAAUAUUGCAAAAGGGGCGCACGCUUGAUGCAGCCAUGCCGCGUGUAUGAAGAAGGCCUUCGGGUUGUAAAGUACUUUCAGCGGGGAGGCGUUACCCGCAGAAGAAGCACCGGCUAACUCCGUGCCAGCAGCCGCGGUAAUAC
rnacentral:rRNA from 1 species